rnacentral:rRNA from 1 species
GAUGAACGCUGGCGGCGUGUCUAAGGCAUGCAAGUCGAAUGGUCUGGUUUCCAGACCAUGGCAAACGGGAGAGUAACACAUUGGUAAUUUACCCCAAAGACGAGAAUAAUCCAGAGAAAUCUGGAAUAAUACUCGAUAUUAUGCAUUGUCGCCUGAUAAUGCAUCAAAGCUCCGGCGCUUUGGGAGAAGCCUAUGGUCUAUCAGCUAGUUGGUGAGGUAAUGGCCCACCAAGGCGACGACGGAUAGCGGGUGUGAGAGCAUGACCCGUCUCACUGGGACUGAGACACUGCCCAGACUCCUACGGGAGGCUGCAGUCAAGAAUAUUCCUCAAUGGCCGAAAGGCUGAAGGAGCGACGCCGCGUGUAUGAUGAAGCCCUUCGGGGUGUAAAAUACUUUUAACCGGGACGAAGUACUGACGGUACCGGUUGAAUAAGGGGCUGCUAACCUCGUGCCAGCAGCCGCGUAAUCUAGUCUACG